rnacentral:rRNA from 1 species
UACGGAGGGGGCUAGCGUUGUUCGGAAUUACUGGGCGUAAAGCGCGCGUAGGCGGAUCUGCAAGUCGGGGGUGAAAUCCCGAGGCUCAACCUCGGAACUGCCUUCGAUACUGCGGGUCUCGAGUCCGGGAGAGGUGAGUGGAAUUCCGAGUGUAGAGGUGAAAUUCGUAGAUAUUCGGAAGAACACCAGUGGCGAAGGCGACUUACUGGACGACUGUUGACGCUGAGGUGCGAAAGCGUGGGGAGCAAACAGG